rnacentral:lncRNA from 1 species
AAAUGUAUCAGAAAUAGGUUAAACAGGUUUUAAACAGGUUAAACGGAUCUUAAAUGGAUUGAAUAGGUUAAACAAGUCGGAUUAAAUAGAUCAGAAAUAGGUUAAACAGGUUAAAUAUGUUAUCUGACUUAACCCAAUCUGAAUAUUAAAUGGGUUAAACGGAUCAGAUAUCUAAAAUCCAAAUCUAAUCAACUUAUUAAACGGAUUAAAUGGGUUGAUUCGUUUAUGACCCAAACUCGUUUAGUCUAAAUCCAAAUCUGUUUAUGGC